rnacentral:misc_RNA from 1 species
GAUGAAGAACGUAGCGAAAUGCGAUACUUGGUGUGAAUUGCAGAAUCCCGUGAACCAUCGAGUCUUUGAACGCAAGUUGCGCCCGAAGCCACUAGGCCGAGGGCACGCCUGCCUGGGCGUCACACGCCGUUGCCCCCCCAUCUACUCCUUCGGGAUUGCGGGGGGGCGGAUGAUGGCCUCCCGUGCGCCUAGCCGCGCGGUUGGCAUAAAUACCAAGUCCUCGGCGACGCACGCCACGACAAUCGGUGGUUGCGAAACCUCGGUUGCCCGUCGUGUGCGUUCGUCGCGCAUCGAGGGCUCGAAAAAAUGCUCGGCUCCGGCUGGGCUUUCAACGCGACCCCAGGUCAGGCGGGGUUACCCGCUGAAUUUGAGCAUAUCAAUAAGCGGAGGA